GACGAAGGUGGCGAGCGUUGUUCGGAAUCACUGGGCAUAAAGCGCACGUAGGCGGUGUCGUAAGUCGGGUGUGAAAUCCCUCGGCCUAACCGAGGAACUGCGCCCGAUACUGCGAUGCUUGAGGACCAGAGGGGUGCAUGGAAUUUCCGGUGGAGCGGUGAAAUGCGUUGAUAUCGGAAGGAACUCCGGCGGCGAAAGCGAUGCACUGGCUGGUUUCUGACGCUGAGGUGCGAAAGCCAGGGGAG
rnacentral:rRNA from 1 species